AAGUGUUGGAUUGUUCACCCACC
rnacentral:snRNA from 1 species